rnacentral:lncRNA from 1 species
UAUUCUUAGUAGAGACGGGGUUUCACCAGGCUGGCCAGGCUGGUCACGAACUCCUGACCUCAAGAGAUCCACCCACCUCAGUCUCCCAAAUUGCUGGGAUUACAGGUGUGAGCCACCGCGCACCCAGCCUUUAAAAAAAAAAAAAAAAAAAAAAAAGACUACCAUAGGCCGGGCACCGUGGGAGUCCGAGGCGGGCAGAUCACGAAGUCAGGAGCUCGAGACCAGCCUGACCAACAAGGUGAAACCCCACCUCUACUAAAAAUACAAAAAUCAGCUGGGCGUGGUGGCAUGCACCUGUAAUCCCAGCUACUCAGGAGGCUGAGGCAGGAGAAUCACUUGAACCUGGGAGGUGGAGGUUGCGGUGAGCUGAGACAGUGCCACUGCACUCCAGCCUGGGUAACAGAACAAGACUCCACAUCUCAAAAAAAAAAGACUCUACCACCAAAGGCUGACAAUUUCAUAUUCAUCUAUUAGAUCUGUCCCAAAACAAGCAAAGUAAAUAAUACAGAGCCUCCUUUCAAUUCAGUCAUGAAGCUGGGCACCAUGUGGCCCACCUGUGGGUCCAGCUACUUGGGAGUUUGUGGCAGGAGAAUCCCUUGAGCCCAGGAAUUAGAGCCUGUAGUGUGCAGUGAUCAAGUCUGCAAAUAGCCACUGCACUCCAGCCUGGGCAACAAAGCAAGACCCUGUCUCUAAAAAUAAUAAUAAUAAUAGUAUCAGUCAUAGAACCUACAGCUAAGAAAAAAAAAGAAAAAAGCAUCAGAUGGUAUUUCCAGCCAAAGCAAACGUUUAAAUGUGUACUGGCAAACCAACAAAUGCCACUAUGAUGAAACAUCAAGUUUAGGAGACCAUAUCAAUAAACCACCAAGUUUCAAACAGUCCUAAUUGAAGGAUAUAAACUGUACUAUAUCUUACAGGGGCGGGGGAACCCUAAUUUUAAAAACUGAACACAAUAAAAAUCUAUAGACAAACAAUGGAAUUACAUAAAUUAGCUGAGACAGUUCUUAGACUACAUAAAAAUAAUUUCUUGAAAGUAAGGUUUCAGUAGUCAGCAAAUCCUUUUUUUUUUUUUUUUUUUUUUUUUUGAGAAAGAGUCUUGCUCUGUCACCCCAGGCUGGAGUGCAGUGGAGCAAUCUCGGCUCACUGUAACCUCCGCCUCCCGGGCACAGGCAAUUCUCCUGCCUCAGCCUCCCAGUAGCUGCGAUUACACGCAUGCGCUACCAUGCCCAGCUAAUUUUGUAAGAUGGGGUUUCACCAUGUUGGCCAGCCUGGUCUCAAACUCCCGACCUCAGGUGAUCCACCUGCCUCAGCCUCCCAAAGUGCUGGGAUUACAAGCGUGAGCCACUGCGCUCGGUGACUCUAUCCUUUAGAGCAGGGGUUGACAAGCUAUGGCCUAAGAGCUAAAUCCAACCAGCCCGUUUUUACACAAUUAUGGGGUAAGAAUGGUUUUACUUUUUUUUUUUUUUUUUUUUUUUGAGAUGGAGUCUCUCUCUGUCACCAGGCUGGAGCACAGUGGCGCGAUCUCAGCUCACUGCAACCUCCACCUCCCGGGUUCAAGCGAUUCUCCUGCCUCAGCUUCCCGAGUAGCUGGGACUACAGGCAUGCGCCACCAUGCCCAGCUAAUUUUCGUAUUUUUAGUAGAGACGGGGUUUCACCACGUUGGCCAGGAUGGUCUCGAUCUCUUGACCUCGUGAUCCGCCCACCUUGGCCCUCCAAAGUGUUGGGAUUAUAGGCGUGAGCCAUGGCGCCCGAUCUGGUUUUACAUUUUUUAAAGGGUUGUAAAAAACAAAAUGUGACAGAAUCCAUACAUCCCACAAAGCCUAAAAUAUUUACUACCUAGCCCUUUACAGAAAGGUUUGCCAACCUUAGCUUUACAGUAAUAAAUUUUAAAAUGUGGACACUAUAAUCUUAAAUCAAUAAAUGUUUUAAAUGAGUUAAUUUAUUAAAUCAUUUCCUGUACUGCAGCCAAGAUUAAAUCCAGGAAAAAGUUGUUAAACCUUGAAAUUAGAAGUUUUAUAGAAAUUGCUUCAUGAAAAGAUUCUAAGGAAAAAAAACAGAAAUUACUGCCAAUUCUGGGAGUAUUCUGAAGAACCCAUUUUUAAAUUUCACUAAUCCUAAAAUUGUUCUACACAGAUGUUCCCCGACAUAUAAUAAAGUCCCAAUCAACCCAUUGUAAGUUGAAAAUAUAAAUCAAAGAUAAAUUUAUCAGCCUGGCCAACAUAGCAAGACCUUAUCUCUACUAAAAAUAAAAAUUUAAAAAUUAGCCAGGCAUGGUGGCACUGCCUGUAGUUCCAGCUACUCUGUGGCUCAGGUGAGAAGACUGCAUAAGCCCAGGAAAGUCAAGACUGCAGUGAGCCAUGAUUGUACCACUGUACUCCAGUGUAGGUGACAGAGCAAGACCUAGUCUCAAACGAACAUUUCAUGCACCUAACCUACUGAACAUCAUAGCUUACCUAGCCUACCUUAAACAUGCUCAGAUCAGUUAGAUUAGCCUACAGUCGGGGAAAACCACUUGGCAACACAGUAUACUGAAUGGGAACUAUGGCUCACUGCCACUGCCCAACAUCACAAGAGAGCAUCAUACCAUGUAUCAGGAGCCUGGGAAAGACCAAAAUUCAAAAUACAACAUACAGUGUCUACUGAAGGUGUUUCUACUGAAUGAAUAUGGCUUAUACAACAAAAAUUUUAAGUCAAACCAUCAUAAGUUGGAGAUCAUCUGUACUUCCAAGAUAUAUAUCACCUACUCAGGGACAUUCUAUUUUAGCAUGAGACCAAAAGAAAAUCAUCAAUUAUUAAUAGCUACAUAAUAAACCCUACCCUUGCUAAUCUUGUACUAACUUAAUACUGAUCUAAGUUGAAAUUCUGUUACCUUACAGGAUCUAUAACAUUAAUUUUUUUUAACUUUUUAAAAAGUGACAGAUAAUAGUGUACAUUACCAUGUGCAACACGAUGUUUUGACAUAUAUACACUGUCCAAUGUUUAAAUUCAACCAAUUAACAAACGUAUUACCUCAGUUAUCACUGUGGUGAGAACAUUAACAUCCACCCUUUGCAUUUUUCAAGAAUACAUUGUAUCAUUAACUACAGUAACCUUGUUGUACAAUAGAUUUCUUAAAUAAACAUUUUACCUUUCAAUCAACAUAGGAAAUCUGUCAUUAGCUCAAAGCAGUUUUGAUUUAGCAAAUUAUUUGUAAACUAUGGAUGUACCUCCCAUUUCAAAAUACAUAAUGUAUAUCUUUUGUUUCAAGAGAUUUAUACCACAGCGAAGUUUAACAAACAGGGCUCAGACAAUACCUUUUUUAAAGUAAUAAUUUAAUAUCAAAAUUUUUAAAAGAGUAAGCUAUACAAGCCAUUACUUCCUAUAACCUUCAAAAAUAUUUCAAUAUUGAGCCCCCAAAUCCUAAAAAUUAACUUGGCUACAGAUGAUAAAUUUCAUACAGUGAGAUGGAAAGAAAAUUACCAGGUGGUCCAAAGACCCUCUUUGAGUUUUAAUGAGUAUUAUUUUUUAAAGUCAUUUGGUUAUCUACUCCAUACUUCACAAAACGAGAAUGACCCAGAUUUCAAGUUACCAUGAGUUUCAGUCUUCACUCUGUGUGGGGGAAAAAUCAGCCUUCAUCUGUUUAAGCCAAUCACUUUAACAUCUAUGACCCUCAGAUAAUGCAUUUACAGUAUAAGAAAAGGAGUGGUCUAGACUCUAAAAGGUUUCUAAGGAAGGUCUCUAUCCAUCUCUAAAAUCCUGUUACUGUAACCAAGAUUUUUAAAAACAUUUAUGACCUGCCUCAUUUCAAAUAGAAUCUGCUGCAGUUCACAUCUCACAUCCAAAUAUAACCACCAAAAAAGACUAAACAAAAACAACAACAAAAAAGUAUAAUACAACAGCACACACAGAACACAUGAGAACCAGAGCCAAAAGAAAAAGAGAAGCAAAGGUAAUGUUAGUAAUUAGCCCCAAUAUAUUCCCAAUAUUACCAGCCUACAUUAUUUUACACAAACAUAUUUUUCCUACUGUUUUAAGAGAAAGGGGUGGGGGGAAACAACAAAAGAGAAGGGGGUCUCAUUCUUGCCCAGGCUGGAAUGCAGUGGCUAUUAACAGGUGCAAUCAUAGCACACACUACACCCCUGAACCUCUGGGCUCAAGCAAUCUCCCACGUAGCUAGGUCUACAAGCAUACCAAACAUCACACCUGCCUAAUUUUAAGUCAGACCACUGACAGAAGCCAUUUCUUCCUUUCAAACUAUCCUCCCAAAAGAUGAGGAAACCAUUCCCUAAGAGAAGUCUUUUAAGAAAUACCUCUUGUUUUAAGCCAUCCAAAAAGCAAAUACAGUAAGCAUGUUUCAUUUUGAAAGAAAAAUAGAAAGCUGCCUACAAAAUCAAUUUGUAUCAAGAAGUCAUUUUUCCAGUAAUUUCUUCAAGUUUACUUCUUGAACUUUGAAAGAUAAGCUUUCCUUCCCACUGGAUGCCAGAGGAAGUGACUGAAUGCUCAAGCUGGCCAUUCAUAGGCACUCCAACCCUCUCAGGGCUCCAGGGCCAGGCAUGGAAAGUACAACUGCAGUCCAGGGAGGCCUGCAGCAGCUAACGCCUUCUUCAGAUUUUCUCCUUAUCGAGUCAAUUUUGGAAUUUCCUUAGUUUGAGAAUUUCAAACAAAGGGCCUUGAAUUUGCAAGAGGCAAGCACUCUCAUCUCUUAGUUUUUGAGGACUCAAUUAAAUACGAAAAAAAAACCUUCUUAAAAAUGGUAAUUACCUUCAAACUUCUUUGAAAAUUUAGAUUAAAUGACACAACCAAAAAAGAAUUCAAGGGAAAAUUAUCCCUGUAAAGAGUACUGUAGGUUACACAGAAUUACAAAGAUCUCACACAUUACUUUAAAAAUACAUGGUCAGGGAAAGGUUUAAAAUCAUCAAGAUUGUACUUCCUUUUCAUGGAAAUAAACCAUACACAGAAGUUAUUACAUUAAUAAGUUGGCUGAAUCACUAAAUCAAAGUACAGGUCAAAUAAAACCCUAGAAAAAAGUAAAAGCUCAAAAUAGCUAUCAAUAAGUAAACUUUUCAGCAGCAAACUUUCAUUUUACCAUAAAAGAGAAGCAACUGAGGAGAGACACAUAUUGAACUUGCUUCACGUGCCUCCUUUGCCUUGACUAUAAGCCUCGUGUUUCCAGUAGAGAGCUAAGGAGCAGAAUGGCACUAGAGGAGUGCGUUUUCACUAGAGAAGCACUGCCUCUAAUACUCCCCUCUGGGGUGACUCCAUGACUUUCAGUAGCUCAAUUUCCUCAACAACUGAAACAGCUGUUUUAGAAAAUAAGCCAACUCAUCUACAGGCCUUAAGUUAUACAACUGCAGAGAGAAGAGGUGCCAAGUUCAGGAAGCCCAACAGAGACCAAAUCAGAGCCAGACGCUGGGGAACUCCAGGUUUAAUAUGCCUUCCACUACUCACUUCCACACUCCAAGAAAUGUCUCCAACCUUUCUGAGAGUUCUUUAUGGCUCAGAAUUUCUCCUUAAGAUUUAAAGACCCAAUUACUUCAAGGAGCAGCCACCAAGAUUCCAGGCCAGCUUUAACCCAGAAGUCCUCCUCUAGAGCUGCAGUAAGAUGUAUGAAUGCUACUGGGAAACUGUAGAGCACUUCCAAAACAUCAGACAUUUUCUAAAGAACAGAAAGCUACACUUAAUUCACAUUAUUGAAAAGCUGCCAAACCACUGAUUUUUAGACUUUAUUAGUCAAGUCAACGCUAUGGUAAACUAUAUUUCAAUAAAGCCACUAAAAAAAUACAGAGUUUCCAAAUUCCUAACAGUUAAAAAGGAUAAAGGGCGGAGACUAAGCUCAGAUCUGUUUCAAUCUCUCCAUAUUAAAAUGAAUGACUGCUGGUACAGACAGCAGAGACUAAACAAUUAUUUGUGGUGCAAUCACUGCAUCUUAAAACCCUCAAGAGGAAACAGCCUGAGAGGGUAGUCUCCAAAAUGAGAAACUUCACUUUGAGACAAUCAAAAGAACAAAACGAAGUCACAGUGCUACUCCCACCGCUGCUCUUUCAAUUAUAAUUUACUAACAUCAAGUGAUUAAAAUCUGCAGCCAGAAAAGAUCAUAAUGUAGGACAACAAAGUAGGAACUGAUCCCAAAACGCUAGACAGUAUUCUCCCAAUAUAAGUGCUGCCUUUUCGUACAGUGUAUUCUAGCUCCAAUGGGACUUGUAAAUCACUUAUAAGGAAAAGAAGCCCCUUCCCCCACCAACCCAAGCCAUCCUAAUAGCUGGGCGUGUUUUACAGCAAAUAUGAAGCACUCAGGAGCGGUCCGAGGCCGACGCUUGCGGGGCCAUCCUCCCCCACCCGCCCGUCACCAGGGCGAGCAGAGGCCUUUGGGGUUCCAUGGCCCCCGACCGCCACGCGGCAGGACUCCGACCCCGCAGCCCAGGAGGCCCGCGCACCUCUGGGAGCAGCCGCAUCUGGCAGAGACUCAGGGCUGCGCAGGCCUUCCCCAAGGAGACAGAGGCUUCUCCCCGCCCAGGGAGCCCAGUACCUCAUGCUGUAAGCGCCGGCGCCCAGUUCCUGCCCGAUGCCC